rnacentral:rRNA from 1 species
UACAGAGGAUGCAAGCGUUAUCCGGAAUGAUUGGGCGUAAAGCGUCUGUAGGUGGCUUUUUAAGUCCGCCGUCAAAUCCCAGGGCUCAACUCUGGACAGGCGGUGGAAACUACCAAGCUGGAGUACGGUAGGGGCAGAGGGAAUUUCCGGUGGAGCGGUGAAAUGCGUAGAUAUGUGGAGGAACACCGAUGGCGAAGGCAGCCCCCUGGGUCAAAACUGACGCUCAUGCACGAAAGCGUGGGGAGCAAACAGG